rnacentral:rRNA from 1 species
GGAAUUACUGGGCGUAAAGCGUGCGCAGGCGGUUUGUUAAGACCGAUGUGAAAUCCCCGGGCUCAACCUGGGAACUGCAUUGGUGACUGGCAAGCUAGAGUAUGGCAGAGGGGGGUGGAAUUCCACGUGUAGCAGUGAAAUGCGUAGAUAUGUGGAGGAAUACCGAUGGCGAAGGCAGCCCCCUGGACCAAUACUGACGCUCAUGCGCGAAAGCAUGGGGAGCAAACAGGAUUAA